rnacentral:tRNA from 1 species
GGAUGAAGAAGCUGGGCGGAUUCAGCUCCGUGGUGAAACUUCGGGCUCGCAGGUUCGAAUCCUGCUUCAUCCACCA